AAAAUUUUUUUUUCAGGUUGAUAUCUACAUUAAUGGAGAACAUGUUGAAACUUUUCAGGAAGAUCUCACUUUUACACUGGACACAUUGACUCCACCAAACUUACCCAAGAUAGAUGACCUAAAAGCGGCUCACUGACUUAUCGCUUAGAAGAUCUGGCCUAUACAAGAAGUGGGGACAAAGACAACUCUGUGAAUAUAGAUAUGAAUUGCCAGGAACAUAUGCAUUAAACUUUGUUUUGAAAAAUCGCCUUGGUGGUGGAGGCACUGCCUCACUGAGAACUGACUCACAGUGACUCCCAAAAAUUAACCCCACCGGGAAAGAAAGAAAAAUGCAAAUCAGCUUGGUGCUGCCUGCCUCUCACAAAACGUCGUGGGGAUGCGGCCAUUGAGGAGGGUCUAUAGGACUAUAAUGUGAUUCGAAAUCGUUUGUGAAAUGAACAAAAGUCACCAGCAAGCGGGACGACUGUCAGAUAGGGGGCGGGAGCGAAGGCCGGGUCUCGGAGGAUAAUGGGGAGCCGGCCUCCUCCCCGUCUGGUCUCCAUGGUCCCCUUCAUCUUCCAGGAUGAAGAACCCAAUGCUGGAGGCGGUGUCACUAGUGCUGGAGAAGCUGCUCCUUAUCUCCAACUUCAAGCUCUUCAGUUCAGGCGCCCCGGGCGAAGACAAGGCAAGGAACACUUUCUAUGAGAUCAACUCUUUUCUCCGCGGCGACGUGCUGGAGGUGCCUCGGACCCACCUGACACACUAUGGCAUCUACCUGGGCGACAACCGUGUCGCCCAUAUGAUGCCCGACAUCCUGUUGGCCCUGACUGACGACAAGGAGCUCACGCAGAAGGUGGUCUCCAACAAGCGUCUCAUCCUGGGCGUCAUUGGCAGAGUGGCCAGCAUCCGCGUGGACACAGUGGAGGACUUCGCCUACGGAGCCGACAUCCUGGUCAAUCACCUGGAUAGGUCCCUCAAGAAGAAGGCGCUGCUCAACGAAGAGGUGGCGCGGAGGGCGGAGAAGCUGCUGGGCAUGACUCCCUACAGCCUCCUGUGGAACAACUGCGAGCACUUCGUCACCUACUGCAGGUUCGGCACCGCGAUCAGCCCCCAGGCCGACAAGUUUUGUGAGAAUGUGAAGAUAAUUAUUCGUGAUCAGAGAAGUGUUCUUGCUUCGGCAGUCUUGGGAUUGGCAUCUAUAGUCUGUCUGGGUUUGGCAUCAUAUACUACCCUUCCUGCAAUUUUUAUUCCAUUCUGCUUAUGGAUGGCUGGCUAACUUCAUACCCUCGUUUCAGUGUGUGUAUUCUGUGUGUAGAUAUGUUUAUAUUUAUAGAGCACAAAUCAGUAUAAGCAUCGUUGAGAAAAAUGUGACCUGUAAUACUGCGUUCUGGAUAAAAAUGUGAUUAAGAAUCACACAAAGUGCUUACCGUGUAAGCCCAAGAACAAAGCCCUUCUGAAUCUUCCCAGGCAGUUCCAUUUCAAAGCACUGUGAAUCUUGGAAACGUGACAGCCUGUGCUGGAAUUCUCCAUUACAAGAAAAUCAGCCCCUAAGAUGAUAGCCGCAGGAGAUUAUUUGUCAAGAAUAACUUCAUUACUUGAAACAAUAUUGACAAAGUUACUGUAAACCACUCUGAGAGGAAAAUGAACAUAGGAUUGAAAUAAUUCGGGUACUUGGAGUGCGUAUGUGCCAGUUGAAUACACAGAUAUCCACAUACACUCAGACCGAUGAGAGACAAAUUGUUAGUUCUUGAUUGCUUUAUUAUCAUACCAGAGUAGUUAGUAUAGAGCAUUGGUAGAAGUGAACAUAAAAGCAUGUUCAAUCCAUUUUCUUAUGCCGUUGCGUCUGUGGUGUAACUUGCAUGUAUGUCGUCAUUGGAUAGUUUAAUUUUAAAGCACUUACUAAUGCACUGUAUAAUUUGUAAAAGCCCUGAGAUUUGUUUCAGUUGUUCCAUUUCAUUGCUAAGUCAGUAUAGUUUACAUCCUUAAAAGAAUGAUGCUUCAGCAAUAUAUAAAACCCAAACAAGUAGGAGCAAAGGAAAUAACUAUAAGAAAUCAUUUUUAAGUGUCUUAGUACCACCAGGCAUGUAAGUUGAUUACACAGAGGCUGUUUUAAUAUCAGAGUUGAGAUGUAGCAGUGUUAAAGCAAGCAUGCAAGUACUUUUACAAAAUUACCAAAUUCUAAAAAGUAAGCUACAAGCUAGACUUGCAUUUCAAGUAUUAAAAUUGCUUUAUAAACUGUCAAGAAUUACAAAAUAAUGAGUCACAUAAUGAGAGGUAUGAGGAGGGUGGGGUUAGUCACUCAAAUCAAAACAAAUUUAAGAGCAGAUUUUAGUACAUCACCACUAAUUUACCUAAAACAAAUUCAGUUGGAGUUUAAUAAUGAUUUAACUUUAAUUAUUUAAAUAUUUUGAAUAAUUGAAGCAUGAAAUGACAAACACCACAGAAUAAAGUGUUCUAUGGGCCUAUUCCAACCACUUAAAGUUAUCUUAAGUGUGUAUACAUAAAAACAACCACUAUGAGAACUCCAUUGUAUUAGUGGUUUUUCACUUACUGUAUAUUACUCAU